UGGUGUCGUUAUUCUAAAUUCUUAGAAAAUGAUGAAAAGGGAAUCAGGUGUAAAUCCUGAACAGACCCGCUGCUGUAAGCUUCACCAAAGGUUUUCGAACAAUUCUCUAACCACUAUUCUAUUUUGAAUGGGAAGGACGUUCGAAAAUGAAGUAAGUCAGAAGACCUGCCAAAUAAAUAAA
rnacentral:ncRNA from 1 species